GUCCACAAGACGCCGCCACCACAAUGAUGAUGUCACUGAGUCCACUGCUGCUCACCCUGGGCCUCCUUGUUCACGGUUCAUCAGGAGACAUCGUCGUGACUCAGACUCCUGGAUCUCAGUCUGUAGCUCCAGGACAGACUGUCUCCAUCACUUGCAGAACAAACUCAGGCAUCACAGAUGACCUCUGUUGGAUUCUUCUAAAACCUGAUGUAGCUCCUAAACGUCUGAUUGAUGAUGCAUCAUCCCGUGAUUCUGGAGUUCCAGAUCGUUUCAGUGGACAAGGAUACGGGACACAGUUCACUCUGACCAUCAGCAGAGUCCAGCCUGAAGAUGCAGGAGUUUAUUAUUGCAUGCAGUAUAACAGUCUCCCGUUCACACAGUGA